GCCCGGGUGGUGAAAUGGUAAACACAAGGGACUUAAAAUCCCUCGGCUGUCAGCUUUACGAGUUCAAGUCUCGUCCCGGGUA
rnacentral:tRNA from 1 species